rnacentral:tRNA from 15 species
UUGCAAGAGCGGAGCUCUACCAACUGAGCUAUAUCCCC